UGGGGAAUAUUGCACAAUGGGCGCAAGCCUGAUGCAGCCAUGCCGCGUGUAUGAAGAAGGCCUUCGGGUUGUAAAGUACUUUCAGCGAGGAGGAAGGCGGUAAGGUUAAUAACCUUAUCGAUUGACGUUACUCGCAGAAGAAGCACCGGCUAACUCCGUGCCAGCAGCCGCGGUAAUACGGAGGGUGCAAGCGUUAAUCGGAAUUACUGGGCGUAAAGCGCACGCAGGCGGUCUGUCAAGUCGGAUGUGAAAUCCCCGGGCUCAACCUGGGAACUACAUUCGAAACUGCCAGGCUAGAGUCUUGUAGAGGCGGGUAGAAUUCCAGGUGUAGCGGUGAAAUGCGUAGAGAUCUGGAGGAAUACCGGUGGCGAAGGCGGCCCCCUGGACAAAGACUGACGCUCAGGUGCGAAAGCGUGGGGAGCAAACA
rnacentral:rRNA from 1 species